ACACACACACACACACACACACACAGAGAUCACCUCCUGAUGUCUCCGUCGAUGCAGAACGAGUAUAGCCAGUAGAGGGACAGCGAGAAGCACACUACGGCCACCAUGACAGAGAUGGCCGACACAAAGUAGCACAGGGAGGCCGAGGUGGACGCCUGCACCCCGAUGGCGCUCGCCGUUGUGUUGUAGCUGACGAGUCCAUACAGCAUACACAAUCCUCCAAAAUUACCCUGAAAGGUGUGUACAGAAACAAUUUACAUGUGUCAAUUAACAUUACAGUUUGAAUCCUGUUGGAGCAAUGAUGAUAAGCAACUUGAGGAGAAAGUGUAGACAAGGGGUGCCCAUUACGUCGAUCACAAGCUACCGGUCGACCGAGGGGGGUGUGUCGGUCGGUCGCCAGCCAGGCUUUUAAAAAAAUAGACCUAAAAAUUAGCGAUCAUCAAUCUUCACCAAGACGUCUUUUGAUUGACAUUCACGGCACCCGAGGGUCUUGUGCACGCCAACUUUCCAAUACUCUUUAUUUUGUUAGCGCAAGCAGCAUGAAGCAGGGCUCUUAUUUUGAAGAUAGGAAAUGUGUAGUAGGCCUUUAGGCUUUUGACGACAGGUAUGGCGCGAGAGUCUGUUGAAAUAAAAAGUGUUUCUCGCUUUCUCCUCUGUCAUUUUUUCAUAAUAAUGAUUUCGCAGCAGCCAGCGUCAUCUCACAAGACAUUCGGGUGCCGUGAAUGUCAAUCAAGCAAGCUACGGAAUUUGCCGCCAUUGUUUUUCUUGUAAAGUGUAUGUGUAACAGGUGGUCUUUUCCUCUGCGUUGUGUGUGAUUUAUGGAACACGACCGACACCAUGGGUUUCUCCACUGCACUUUACUGAUAACACAGAAUACAAUUGUCAUCAAAAACUUUCUGCCAUCGUCGAGCUCCUCUCCCGUUAUCGUAAACAAAAAAGGCAUGUAGUUCCAUACACAGUAAAAUAAAAACAUACCUGAUAAUACAGAACACAAUUGUCAUCAAACACUUUGUGCCAUUGUCGAGCCCCUACACAAAUAUAAUAAUGAACAAGAAAUGAGUUGAAGUUCUAAACAAGACAAAACAUUUUCUGUCGUCGCAUGGACAACCUACCUCUCCCGUUAUCGUAGACAAAAAGGGAAGUUGGAGGGUGUGACCAACGGAUAUAAAAAGACAGGUGUCACAGUAAUUAUUGCAGUAGGAGGGACAACGAGACAAUGGUUCCACAUUGACAAAACAUCAAACAAUAUUCAGGUAUUUACAUGUAACUUUUAUAUUUUGUGUAAUUAUAACAAUAAUAAAACAUUAGAAAAUACAUUAUUUACAAGACAUAAUUGACCCUGUUACAUAUGGAAGCUGGAUAAAUAAGAUGCCAAAAACCAACCACUUUCAUGUGGUAUUGUACAGAAAGGAGGACUUUUUUUCUACUCCAUUCGAAAAUGUGGCCGUUAUCAUAUACUGUCUGAUUCCAAUCAAUGCAAGUCAUCAGAAUCAGGUAAUACACCAACUUAUAUUCUUGUCUUCAUGAAAGAAAGACAUAUAUAUGUGUUACACAUGCUUGUAUAAUCAUUAAACACAUUUAACUUAACACAAACGUCUCUUUCAUAAAUAAAUAAAUAUAAAUGAUGUAUAUGAAUGAGGUACAUCCCCUCGAUUUGGUAAAUUGAAAAGUAGCUCGCCUGCAGAAAAAGUGUGGGCACUCCUGCUGUAGACAAACAGCUGCAUGGAGCUCCUUAAUAGGGCACGAGGGCCAGGUGGUCACGUGACACAAUGUGACCACAUGACUGUUGUUAUCAAGCUCUUCCAUGUUCGCGCCUCGAAAACAGGGGUCGCUGUCUCUCCCGGUCCAAAUGGCAGAGUAGAACUCCCUCAGGGCCACUUCGGAGACCUCAAUAAACCUUUCUGGGACCUGAAUGCAGCAAGACAAAGAACUCAUCCAGAAGGUGGAGCACCACACAGAUGAUGUGGAACAGGAUGGAGCGGCGCUAUCUGUCAUCCUCAUCCCUCUAUCCUCCCCACCACAGUGCUCAAAGCAGAGUGCCAGGAAAAGAGGGGGAUGAAUAGAGGAGGACGAAGAGGCAGGGUGACUUUUUCCAUCCCCUCAACAAUAGAUGGAUGAUCUCUGCUUAUCCUCAAAUCGCAUCCCUCCUUUUUCUACCCUCUACUGCUAUUUUUCUUUGUUUUUGUCUUUUGUCAGCCCUCUCCGUCCAUCCGUCUGUCCUUCCACUCAUCCCUCAUCCCUCGCUUCUGUCUCCCCCUGCUCACUCCAGCAAACUUCAUGCUUUAAUUGGAGCUUGCUCACACAUUAUAUGUGCACCCAUGCAACCUCACUCCUACACUGCCAUAUUCCUGAAAUGUUUCUCUGAUUUGAGCCCUUUGCUGUUUUCCCUUGGGGCAAAUAAGGUUCCAGUCGCAGUAACACUGCACACUGCACAUUGCAUGUUGUCGUUUCACCUUUUUCUACUUCCUUGCUCCUCUGCAUCGUGUUCACUAUUAACUUCCAGACUCAAACAUUAUAUCAAGAUGCAAAACAAUAACGAUGUAGACCAAAAAACGGUAUACAAAACCCAAAACCAGUGCAGUUGGCACGUUGUGCAAAUCGUAAAUAAAAACAGAAUACAAUGAUUUGCAAAUCCAUUUCAACUUAUAUUCAAUUGAAUAGACUGCAAAAACAAGAUAGUUAAUGCUCAAACUGCAAAACAAUUUUGUUUUGCAAAUAUCAGCCAGCACAUUUGGAAUUUGAUGCCUCCAACAUGUUUCAAAAAAGCUGGCACAAGUGGCAAAAAAGACUGAUAGUUGAGACUUAUUUGGAACAUCCCACAGAUGAACAGGCCAAUUACGAACAUGUGGGUGUCAUGAUUGGAUAUAAAAGCAGCUUCCAUGAAAUGCUCAGACAUUCACAAACAAGGAUGUGAACAAAUACGUGAGCAAAUUGUUUAAGAGCAACAUUUCCUAACGAGUUAUUGCAAGGAAUUUCGAGGUUUCGCCAUCUACGAUCUGUAAUAUAAUCAAAGGGUUCAGAGAAUCUGGAGAAAUCACUGCACGUAAGAGAUGAUGAAAGAGUGCGGGUACUAGACUGGCCUGCCUGUAGUCCAGACAUGUCUCCCAUUGAAAAUGUGUGGCGCAUUAUGAAGCCUAAAAUACCACAACAGAGACCCCGGACUGUUGAACAACUUAAGCUGUACAUCAAGCAAGAAUGGGAAAGAAUUCCACCUGAAAAGCUUCAAAAAUUGGUCUCCUCAGUUCCCAAACGUUUACUGAGUGUUGUUAAAAGGAAAGGCCAUGUAACACAGUGGUAAAAAUGCCCCUGUGACAUUGUUUUUUGUAAUAUGUGGCUGCCAUUAAGUUCUAAGUUCAUGAUUAUUUGCAAAAAAAAUAUAUAGUUUCAGUUCAAACAUUAAAUAUCUUUUCUUUGCAGUCUAUUCAAUUGAAUAUAAGUUAAAGGGAUUUUCAAAUCAUUGUUUUCUGUUCAUUCCGUAAUACUCAAUGAAUUCAAGUGUGCCUCAGGAAUUACUCUUUUUUUUUUUUUUUUUAUUUGAUAAAUCACACUUUGAAUUUGGAAUAAGCACACGUUAUUGCUCGUUUAGAUUUAAAAAAGCGUUGUUACUAUAACAAUCUACAAGAUUAGUAUAGGUUGUCUCUCUCUCUUCCCUUCCAUCUUUCGGUCUUCCUUUUAUUUCAUUUAUUUUUUAUCUUUCUAGUUAUCAUUUUGUAUACGUAUUGUUGCAUUUAAACAACUGUAUUGUUGAUAAUAGAGGUAAACUAUUGGUAUUGUUCAUAAUCAAUAGCGCUUUUUCUAUUGGUAUUUGUAUUGCUCCAGUUGUAGUGUAAAAAUGCUCAUUGUCCUUUCUAUAUUAUUAUUUAUUUCACUCACUGCUUCUUUGCUAUCACUUUUAUGAUCAUAUUUGUACAUAUCGUAUGUGCUGGUGAUGUUCUAUUGUUUUUGUUUUUGUUAUUGUUGUGUUUGCUGUUGUUGUUUUUGUCUCUCUGUCUAAUCCCCCUCUUAUCCCCACAAUUCCCCCCUCUGUCUUCCUUUUUUUCUCUUUCUAUCCCCUCCUGCUCUGGCCCGGCUGCACCAAAUGAUAAUAUAAAUACAUUUAAUAAAGUCAAAUUCAAAUAAGGCAAUAAGAGAAGUAUCCUACACUUCUCUUUUGUAAAGUAAAUCUGAACAGCCGAUAUGGGCAUCUACAUCAACUACAUGAUUUGCCUGAGAAGCUGGACAGGACAUAAAAAAAAAAAAAGAUUUAAAAAAAGAGCCCAAUAUUUGGAAACAAAUGCGAUUUCGUUGCCAAAAUAUCAUACAAGAAAUGUUCUUGAUACGUGUUACUUAAAUGCACGUUAUUUAUUUGCUCCAAACGUGCUAAAAGCAUACUCUAGAGUCACAUCAGGGUGUAUGUUGGAGUGAAGUUUGCCAAUGAGUAAUCAGUUGCCGCCCCCUUGCUAAUUUUUGCAACAGUUAGAGUAAAGAAGCAUGUACGGUUCAAAUAAAUUGCAUGAUUAAUGCGAUAUUUUGGUGGAAAUAAUUACAUGAGUUAACAGCUCUUCUUUAAACAUGCACCAUACUGUACAUGUGUAAAUACUUUUAAGUCCACAUUAUUUCACUUAAAGUGCCUUUAUUUUGAUGUAAAUUAACAUAUAAAACCCAAAACCAGUGAAGUUGGCACGUGUAAUUUGUUAAAAAAAAAACAGAAUACAAUGAUUUGAAAAUCCUUUUCAAUUUAUAUCCAGAUGAAUAAACUGCAAAGACAAUGUUAAUGUUCGAACUGUGAAACUACAUUUUUUUUGGCAAAUAUU